AUUAGAAUAGUUUAAUAAAAACAUUGAUCUUGUAUAUCAAAAAUAUAAAAAUAUAUUUCUAAUA
rnacentral:tRNA from 1 species